GCCAGUGUAGCAUAGUGGUUUGAGCAUUGGACUUCAACUCUGCAGACCAGGGUUUGAAUCCUGGCUCAGCCA